UGAAGGUAUCAAUUUAUGCUAUAGUGUUAGCUAAUGUGGGUGGACUCAAAAAAACAAAGUUUUCGUGAGUGUUCAGUUAGCAUUUGCUCAUUUUGUGUUGAACCUACUUUCACAGGCAGUGACUGUUUAUUGUGGAUAUUGGCGUCCAUGUCACCGUCCAAUGCCUGACGUUGUCGAAGCCCUCACGUUUACGCCAAGAAGAGAUGGAAAAGUUUCUGCUUUUAAACACAGGCCUUCCGAUCGUCUCCUCUGGAUGACGUCGUACUUGUGCUCUGCGCAACAGUCCCUGGCCAAGCAAGUGUCGGCAAUGCUGUUCAUCACAUUCAGGAGCUCCACAGGAAGGUGGACAACUGGCAUCAUCAACCGGUAUACAGAAGGUGACUGAACACAGACAAAAAGCGCAAAAAGUCACAGUUUUAUUUCAUGCCAGCCUGGAAAUGGUCAACCGAUCACCAGGCCAAGCACCAACGCAGCGACACUUCAAGGUGUCCCACUAAAGAUGCCGAGUUGAUUGUCGAAGGCUUUCCAUUGACUUUAAAAGGUGAAACUUUACAUACAGC